GGCUGGUCCAAAGGUAGUGCGUUAUCAGGACUCAUUACCAUUAGUGUCACUAAAGUCAAUGACAUUUCCCCCUGCUAACUUUGACUGGCUCUUU
rnacentral:Y_RNA from 1 species